UGCUGUUGUUGUUGUUGGCUCCACGCACAUGAGUUUUGGUCAUCAUUUUUUAUUAUUUAUUUAAUUUUUCUCAUUAACACACAGAUUGAAGUGGCUCUUAAUCCUGAAAUAAAACACGCGUUAUAAGCCUGUCGAAUUACUUCCAAACUUGUGUUUUGAAAAUUAUAUGGCAAAAUUGGAAUGUGCAAUUGAGUCUUUGUCCAGAAAUUUUAAUGAUAUCUAUGCUUGGAAUGCGAUCAAGCUUUAUGGAAGAAAUGCAGAUAGAAAAUUUGUUGGAGAUGUUGUUGAAUAUUUAAAUCGUUGUGGAAAAUCUUAUGGCGGCAAAGUAAAAAUAUUUCUGAAAUCAUUGAAUAAACAUCUAAACGAUUUUUCUCGUCGACUUCCUUUUACACACUUCGAAGCAAGAAAUUUAUGCGAAGAUCUAUGUGUUAUGCAAACGGUCCGUGG